UGGACACAGAAUGUUACAUGGCAGGUAACGAGAAUUCUGACAAGGAAAGCAGAAUUAAGCGGAAGCGGAAACGCUCCCUGUUCCUGCGUUUAAGAAAAGCAUUUGGGGGGACAGCCUCCGAUGCCGAUGAUGAGCACACCUAGGAAGAGGCAGUGUCGAUGUGGCAGACUGGGGGUGCAAAGAUUGUCGGUCUGACACCAGUGACAGCCUGGAUGUGGACACCCCCAGCCUGUCUCAGAAUCUCCAUACAUCAGGACCUCCACAUAGUCAAGCACAGCAGAAGCCUCACUCAAUGCUCACCUCCUAGGGCACCUCACUUAGUGUAAUCUCUGUUGUUUAAUUGCGUAUCCCUUGUUUUAUCCUUUAGUUUUAUCUAUAUGUUCUACGUGUUCAGUAUUUAUCUCUAUGUUGUGUUUUAUGAAAUAAAAUGUUUUAUUAAUUU